rnacentral:rRNA from 1 species
CAGCGCCACGAGUGGGAACCACAAUUAUUGGGCCUAAAGCGUUCGUAGCCGGUUAGCUAAAUCUUUUGUGAAAUCGACAGGCUUAACCUGUCGGACUGCAGAAGACACUUGCUAACUUGGGACCGGAAGGGGUCAGGAGUAUUCCAAGGGGAGCGGUAAAAUGUUAUAAUCCUUGGAGGACUACCUGUGGCGAAGGCGCCUGACCAGUACGGGUCUGACGGUGAGGAACGAAAGCUAGGGGAGCAAACCGGAUUAGAUACCCGAGUAGUCC